rnacentral:rRNA from 1 species
GGAUCCAGACUUUGAUCUGGCUCAGGAUGAACGCUAGCUACAGGCUUAACACAUGCAAGUCGAGGGGAAACGACAUCGAAAGCUUGCUUUUGAUGGGCGUCGACCGGCGCACGGGUGAGUAACGCGUAUCCAACCUGCCCACCACUUGGGGAUAACCUUGCGAAAGUAAGACUAAUACCCAAUGAUAUCUCUAGAAGACAUCUGAAAGAGAUUAAAGAUUUAUCGGUGAUGGAUGGGGAUGCGUCUGAUUAGCUUGUUGGCGGGGUAACGGCCCACCAAGGUAACGAUCAGUAGGGGUUCUGAGAGGAAGGUCCCCCACAUUGGAACUGAGACACGGUCCAAACUCCUACGGGAGGCAGCAGUGAGGAAUAUUGGUCAAUGGGCGAGAGCCUGAACCAGCCAAGUAGCGUGCAGGAUGACGGCCCUAUGGGUUGUAAACUGCUUUUAUAAGGGAAUAAAGUGAGUCUCGUGAGACUUUUUGCAUGUACCUUAUGAAUAAGGACCGGCUAAUUCCGUGCCAGCAGCCGCGGUAAUACGGAAGGUCCGGGCGUUAUCCGGAUUUAUUGGGUUUAAAGGGAGCGUAGGCCGGAGAUUAAGCGUGUUGUGAAAUGUAGACGCUCAACGUCUGCACUGCAGCGCGAACUGGUUUCCUUGAGUACGCACAAAGUGGGCGGAAUUCGUGGUGUAGCGGUGAAAUGCUUAGAUAUCACGAAGAACUCCGAUUGCGAAGGCAGCUCACUGGAGCGCAACUGACGCUGAAGCCCGAAAGUGCGGGUAUCGAACAGGAUUAGAUACCCUGGUAGUCCGCACGGUAAACGAUGGAUGCCCGCCGUUGGUCUGAAUAGGUCAGCGGCCAAGCGAAAGCAUUAAGCAUCCCACCUGGGGAGUACGCCGGCAACGGUGCAACUCAAAGGAAUUGACGG